GAUUUCUGGCGUGGUGCGCCGAGCCCGCUUCCUUUUGGGAGUGAGUGCUUGUUGUGCGCCUGCCAUCCUUCGGGAGUGCUGCCCGUGCCGCAAGGUGCGGGAUCAACGGCGCUUCCGAUCGUUUACUUUGAAAAAAUUAGAGUGUUUAAAGCAGGCUUUUGCUAUGAAUACAUUAGCAUGGAAUAAUAAUCUAGGACUUCGGUUCUAUUUUGUUGGUUUCUAUAACUGAAGUAAUGAUUGAUAGGGAUAGUUGGGGGUGCUAGUAUUGGCCGGCCAGAGGUGAAAUUCUUGGAUUCGGUCAAGACUAACUUAUGCGAAAGCAUU
rnacentral:rRNA from 1 species